rnacentral:rRNA from 1 species
UACGUAGGCAGCGAGCGUUGUUCGGAGUUACUGGGCGUAAAGGGUGUGUAGGCGGUUGUUUAAGUUUGGUGUGAAAUCUCCCGGCUCAACCGGGAGGGUGCGCCGAAUACUGAAUGACUAGAGUGCGGGAGAGGAAAGUGGAAUUCCUGGUGUAGCGGUGAAAUGCGUAGAUAUCAGGAGGAACACCGGUGGUGUAGACGGCUUCUGGACCGUAACUGACGCUGAGACACGAAAGCGUGGGUAGCAAACAGG